AGAUUUUUUUUUUUACAAUAGGAUUUGUCGACAAGCAGGAGCACAUGAGGGAAGGGCAAAACAAAUUUCUGUCAGGCACAAAUCAAUCUUCAGUGGAUCAAAGGUCUCCUUCAGUAGGUGGAUGCAAUUCAUGUACAGGUUUUCUCAGGGUCUACAGUUACGGCAGAUAGACAUGAUGGACGACAGCAUUGCAGGCAGUUCAGCAACUCUUAGUAAAAUGGCAAAGAAAAUAAGGGAAGUCUGUGUCACAGCAGUUGAAAGGAUGAGAAGGCGUACAGGUCAGCAGAUUGGUGGAAGAAGGGAGUUUGUUGUGAUCGACGAAAGCCAUUUUCGGCACAAAAGAAAGUAUGGUAGAGGAAGAAUGGCUGGUGGGUGGAAAAGAAAGAAGUGGGUUUUUGGAAUGCUAGGUGUGAGACAUCAUCAGCAGAAAAAAUCCAGAAAACCUAUUCUACGUCUUCUGGAGAGAAGAUCUCAAAAACAUCUAGUCCCUUUGAUUGCGCAUCAUGUGAGGCCUGGGUCAUCAAUUAUCAGUGACGAGUGGCGUUCCUAUUACAUACUCCCUGCACUAGGGUACAACCAUCACACUGUCAACCACAGCAGGUGGUAUGUAGAUCCCCACACUGGUGCCCAUACCCAACAUAUUGAGAGGGCCUGGAGAUCUUACAAGGAGCAGAUCUGGAGGCUUAGGGGAAAUCGGACUGAGAGUUUGCUUUCUGACCACCUUGCAGUGAUAGAGUGGAAUGAAUGGCUAGCAAAGAAAUACUAUGAUGGUGCAUUUGGCAGACUGAUUCAUGACAUUUCAAGAAUGUACAAGUAGUAUUAUUUAGUCAUUGUAACAAGCGUAAGAGCACUUUAUAUAAGAAUUUAUAUAAAAUGUAAUUUUCAAAUAUUGUUUGAUCAUUUGUUGAGUAUAUUAAUUUGUCAUUUUGUUGCUUAUUUUUAUUUAUAUUCACUUUCUUGCUUAUUUUGUUCUUUUUUGUUCAUUUUGUUGUUUUUUCUUUUUUUUUUCUUUUUGUGAUAUUGCAGAGGUUUAUUUUUUUAUGUUAUAUCAAGUGUACAGUUGUACAGUUUAAUUUUUGCAUCUUGAAAUAAAUAUUUUUAUGUUCUGUAUCCCUCUGUGUUAUGUUUGUUUCCUUUUUCUGUUUAGAAGAUAACUGAGCCUUUAAAUAUCCUUUAUAAAAGCUUUACGAGGCAUGAAUAGUCCUCACUUUAGAUGAGCUCACAAAAAUAGUAAACAACUACUAAAUGUUUUAUAACUACCUGAAUUAAUCAUGAAUUACAGUAGGAAUACGUGUUAAUAAAGCAUUUAUUAACACACUGACUAUUACUAUAUGUCUAAAUAAUAAGAUGUAUAAAUGUACAUUUAAAUAGUUUAUUAAUCAUUUACUUACACUUUCUAAACGAUCUUAUGAAGCACUGACAACUCCUAAAUAACUGGUUUGUAAAUAAUGUAAUACUUAAUUUAGAAAUGAUGAAUUAAUCAUUAAUAAAGUAUGAAAAUACAAUUAUUAAACACAUUAUAGAUAUGCUUAUAAAUCAAGAAUAAAGCAUUUAUAGCUUUAUUUAUAAACUGCUUACUAAUGUCUAUUAAUGCUUUAUAAAUGAUGAAUUGACUAUUUACUAAUGCUUAACUAAUGCUUCAUAGUGUGCAGUUAUUAUAAAGUGUUACCAAAUUUUUCUAUAUAUCCUAAUCAUUGUUAACAUGUAUUCAUUACUUCCAUGAGCUCAUUGUUUAUACCUUAAAUGAAUACAUUGCUUAAAUUAAUACAUUGUUAGCUAACUGUGUUAUUUGUAUAUGUACAUUUCUGAAAUUACAUAAUAUGGAUAUAGUCACCUCUGAUAACAGAUUACUCUAAAUUGUAAUGUUGACAUGCAUUUUCUGUAAAGCAUCUUUGAAACGAUAUGUAUUCUGAAAAGCGCUAUAUAAAUUUGAAUUGAAUUUAAUUUAAUACAUUUUGAGUUUAAUUUUAAAAAAUAUUAAAACAUAUACAAAUACAUGUUGUUUAAGAGUGUAGAGCAACCUAUAUUCCUGCACAGUUUAGCUUUAACUCUCAAACAUAAAAUUUACAGUUAAUGGCUGAGAUUUAGGGUGGUGCAGUGGCUGUCACCCCCCAGCAAGAAGGUCCUUGGUUUGAGUCACAGGUUUCCUCCACUAUCUAAAUGCAUGCAUAAAUUGUCCAUAAGUGUUUCCUUGCAUGUGGAUGGUUCCAUGGCUGAGUUUAUUGGUGUCACUGGGCUAGAUGUGGCUCAGUUUUGGGGUUUCUUUUUAAAGACUGGUUUUGAUAUGAUUUAUUUAAGGCUAAUAUUUGGUAACACUAUAAAACUUUUUUCUUGUCUGGUUCAGGGCAAGUUAUGGGUUAUUAAUUGGCUGAAACUUGUCUGUAAUAGUCUGUAAUGCAAAUCUGGACCACCACAGGAUCGUCAUUCUUUGCGGUGUGUGGUCAGAGGGAAAAAAUGGGCAGAUUUGGGCCAUAAAAAAAAAAUUAAUAUAUGUAAGGAGGAUGGCUUCAAGGCUUCAAAGUGUAACAGUGCCAGCUCCAUAAUCUACAACAUCACUUCAUGGAUGCACCUUCUCUUACAAAAAGUUAUUAGUACAUUUCUUUUAAACUGAAAAGAAGAGAGUUGUUGUAGAAUUAUUCAGUUUUAUCUGCUCAGCGACCCAGUUGCCUAUGGUGGACUCUACCACCUAGGGGAUAGCGUCCCACCCGAGAAUCCAGUAGACUGCUGUAAGGCCCGUCCAAUUGGCCCAACAACGGUUUCCAAUAGAGCAGGUGAAGGUUUCCUGCGCGUUCUGUCUUUGCAGUGUGGCAAAGUAGUUUAAUUCCAGUUUAAUUAAACUAGUUUAGUUUAAUUUACUUUUAUCUGACAUCGAAUUUAGGUUAGAAUGCCAACAUUCAUCCAGAUUCCUGUUCACAAAUUUGACAUUUGUGAACAGAAUAGUAACAUCAGAUUGAUCAGAGAUGCAUCAGAAGAAGGGAGACAGAUGGCAUCAAAUACAGUAUCUUACAUUAUAGUAUGCCAUGUGAUACUGUAAACAGAGGCAUUGAAUGGUAGAGACUGCCACAUUACUGUAACUCACCCUUCAUCUGUAAAAAUCAACUACAGUAUAGAUUCAGUCAUAUGGUGCAGUGAGAACAUUUACUGUAUUGGCAGCAAACUCUUCUUGCAUAAAACCUCAUGACUAUGUCAUAUUUCACAUCUUCACACCUUUUGAUAACAUUAUGAAUGUUAUCAAACAUAAUGAAUUUUAUGUAAAUUAUGUAAUUUAGGUAAUGUAAGUGUAUUUUCUAAUGAGGCAUCUAUAGCCUGUUUUACUGUAAUUCAGCAACAAGGGUGAUUUGAAACAUGUAUCUUGCAUUGUUUGGUAUUGAAUUAACCGACUGUUAAAAGUACUAAAUUGAAAGAAGAACAUACUGUUGUGUUUCGGUGAUUAAACCAAAUGUUCCCAUUACAUAUCACAAUGAUCUUGUGUUUUGAAACAAUGAUUAUGUGAAUGAAAAUUUGUACAAAGAAUGAAAGCAUGAGAUCAGGUUUUGAAAGAAUGACUAGCUGUGUUAGAAGUGUGAUCAGUUUGGAGUUUUGUACUAAGAGUUUUGAAAAUAUACACCUUACUUGUGAAAAUAGUACCAAAGCAAAUUAAAAAAAUACUGUAAUGGUCAUUUGGGAACUUGUGUGUGGAGAUCCAGCUGUCAGUCACUGAUUACAAAAAGUGUACACAGUAAAAGGUGUGUCAUUGCAGUCAGGAGCAUGAAAUACUGUAGUCAAUUAAUUCAACCAAAGUCAUGGGCCAAGUGCCCAAGUAAAGAGAACACUAAUCAUCAUAAUGGUGACUUCAGACAGACUUGAACUUUUAUACAUGAACCAUAUGAAGUAAAUAAAGCCAAACUGGUAUAUAAUAAGUGAACAUGGUAAUGAUAUCUCAUGAGAGGAUGUUUAAUCAUUGAUUUUAUUUGCAGUUGAUUUCAUCUAAGGCUGUGUGGCUAUGAAUCAGUUGGUUGUUCUGCUGUCUGCUCAUCUCUUCUCUUUUUUCAAUUCUUGUUGUUCCUCUUAUCUUCAGUGAUUCUGCUUGUUAACUGUAGGUGUUCAUCACUUAUGAUCAAUCAUCACUUGUAGAGUGAAUCUACUUUAUUUCACUAACUGCAACACUGCUUCAGUGUUACUUUUACUCUCUAUAGAUUGGGACCAUAAGAAAACUAUGCAGUGUUCAUUUAACACUCAGGAUUUUGCUAUAUGCCAAUAAACAUAACCUGCAACAUGUUUUUCUUUAUUAAAUAGUUAAAAAAAAUGAUUGGAUAAUUGUCUCAAUCUUUAUUUAACUAUGAACACACUAAGAAACGUGAUAUGUGGUAUGUUUUGUUUUUGUUAUAUGUGAUAUGUCAUACACAAGUUUUGUUGUGGUCUUGCUGGGAUCAUACCAGGACCCAAAAACAACAUAUGCUGGUCCACCAGCACACCCAUUUCCCAUACUGGGUACCAGCAAUCCAGCAUCCAGCAUCCCAUGUAAGGAACCUGCAAAUAAGCAUGCUGGUCCCAGCAUGCAAAACAUACCUUAUGCUGGUGACCAGCAAUGCUGGAUUUUUCAGCAGGGUCAUUAGACAGAGGCAAUUGACUAAUACAUAAUAUAUGUAUGUUCUAUAAGUAAGACUAAUAUGUUUUAUAAGUAAGACUAAUAAGGUAUGUUUUACAUUAGAAACAUCAGGCUGUAGAUGUUUUGACUAGUUAUGUAUUGAUAUCCUUUUAUAUAUAUUUUAUCUUGAAAUUUGAUAUAACUUGCUUGUGUGUAUAUGUAUGUAUGGAUGUUAUCUGUUAACUGUUAAA